UGGGGAAUAUUGGACAAUGGGCGCAAGCCUGAUCCAGCCAUACCGCGUGGGUGAAGAAGGCCUUCGGGUUGUAAAGCCCUUUUGUUGGGAAAGAAAUCCAGCUGGUUAAUACCCGGUUGGGAUGACGGUACCCAAAGAAUAAGCACCGGCUAACUUCGUGCCAGCAGCCGCGGUAAUACGAAGGGUGCAAGCGUUACUCGGAAUUACUGGGCGUAAAGCGUGCGUAGGUGGUCGUUUAAGUCUGUUGUGAAAGCCCUGGGCUCAACCUGGGAACUGCAGUGGAAACUGGACGACUAGAGUGUGGUAGAGGGUAGCGGAAUUCCUGGUGUAGCAGUGAAAUGCGUAGAGAUCAGGAGGAACAUCCAUGGCGAAGGCAGCUACCUGGACCAACACUGACACUGAGGCACGAAAGCGUGGGGAGCAAACAGGAUUAGAUACCCUGGUAGUCCACGCCCUAAACGAUGCGAACUGGAUGUUGGGUGCAAUUUGGCACGCAGUAUCGAAGCUAACGCGUUAAGUUCGCCGCCUGGGGAGUACGGUCGCAAGACUGAAACUCAAAGGAAUUGAC
rnacentral:rRNA from 1 species